GAAGCAUGCAAAAGUAAAGACAUGACAAGCAAAGAUUGAAUUGAGUGAAAGAGACAAAGAUGGAAGUAAAAUUAUAUGAUCUCAUUACUUGUUUGCUUGUAUAAUCAAAGAAAGUUGAAAAUUGCAUGAGGAUUGAUCAAGAUUAUAACAAUGAUAUAAGUACUUAGUAAUGGUGAAUUGAAUGGAAUUUCAAUGAUAGGUUGCUUGAUCAUAUGGAUG
rnacentral:lncRNA from 1 species